AGCUGCGAUCAUACCGGUAUUAAUGCAUCAAAUUUUAUUAGAACUCCGCAUUUAAGCGUAUUUAGACAACAUGUAGUAAUAUGGAAACCUUUUGAUAAGUCUUUGUGUUGCACCUC
rnacentral:rRNA from 1 species